UGCUAGCUUUCGCACGCCAGUCGUACCCGCGCAUCUCGAUGCGAACGGGUCAGGGAAUCCGGUGCGAACCCGGAACUGACGCGCAGCGGUGAGGGCGACGGGCGGCGCAGGACGCCACUGGGGGCAGCCCCGGGAAGGCGCGCCGUCCGGACGACCCCGAGUCCGAAGACCUGCUGGCCCUCCGUCCGUACGG
rnacentral:ncRNA from 19 species